GUGCUCGCUUUGGCAGCACAUAUACUAAAAUUGAAAUGAUACAGAGAAGAUUAGCAUAGUCCCUAUGCAAAGAUGACAUGCAAUUUUCCCAUCAAUUCUUUAUAUUC